CACGUAGGGCGCAAGCGUUGUCCGGAAUUAUUGGGCGUAAAGAGCUCGUAGGCGGUCUGUUGCGUCCGCUGUGAAAACUCGGGGCUUAACCCCGAGCCUGCAGUGGAUACGGGCAGACUAGAGGUAGGUAGGGGAGAACGGAAUUCCUGGUGUAGCGGUGAAAUGCGCAGAUAUCAGGAGGAACACCGGUGGCGAAGGCGGUUCUCUGGGCCUGUACUGACGCUGAGGAACGAAAGCGUGGGGAGCGAACAGG
rnacentral:rRNA from 1 species